GCCGGAGUGGUGAAACUGGCAGACACGCAUGGCUUAGGACCAUGUGCCUCAGGGCUUGGAGGUUCGAGUCCUCUCUCCGGCA
rnacentral:tRNA from 4 species